UGAGGAAUAUUGGACAAUGGAUGGAAAUCUGAUCCAGCCAUGCCGCGUGCAGGAAGACGGCCCUAUGGGUUGUAAACUGCUUUUGUAUGGGAGCAAUAAGAUCUACGUGUAGAUUGAUGAGAGUACCAUACGAAUAAGCACCGGCUAACUCCGUGCCAGCAGCCGCGGUAAUACGGAGGGUGCAAGCGUUAUCCGGAUUUAUUGGGUUUAAAGGGUGCGUAGGCGGUUUGAUAAGUCAGCGGUGAAAUAUUUCAGCUUAACUGGAAGGGUGCCGUUGAUACUGUCGAGCUUGAAUUUAGUUGCUGUGGGUGGAAUGUGUGGUGUAGCGGUGAAAUGCAUAGAUAUCACACAGAAUAUCGAUUGCGAAGGCAGCUCACAAAGCUAAUAUUGACGCUGAUG
rnacentral:rRNA from 1 species